AAUUAACGAUUUAAGUCCUUCUUAAAUGAGGCCAUUUACCCAUAGAGGGUGCCAGGCCCGUAUAACGUUAAUGAUUACUAGAUGAUGUUUCCAAAGAGUCGUGUUGCUUGAUAGUGCAGCACUAAGUGGGUGGUAAACUCCAUCUAAAACUAAAUAUAACCAUGAGACCGAUAGUAAACAAGUACCGUGAGGGAAAGUUGAAAAGAACUCUGAAUAGAGAGUUAAACAACGUGAAACUGCUUAGAGGUUAAGCCCGAUGAACCUGAAUAUCCGUUAUGGAAAAUUCAUCAUUAAAGUUGUAAUAUUUUAACAAUAUUAUAAUAAUAGUGUGCAUUUUUUCCAUAUAAGGACAUUGUAAUCUAUUAGCAUAUAACAAAUUUAUCAUAAAAUAUGACUUAUAGUUUAUUCAAAUUAUUAUGCUUGCAUUUUAACAUAGAAUAAAUUUCAUUAAUUUGAUAAAGUGUUGAUAAAUUAAAAUUAAUACAGUGCGUUAAUUUUUCGAAAUUAUAUAAUGGCAUAAUUAUCAUUGAUUUUUGUGUUUAUUAUAUGCAUUUGUAUGAUUAACAAUGCGAAAGAUUCAGGAUACCUUCGGGACCCGUCUUGAAACACGGACCAAGGAGUCUAACAUAUGUGCAAGUUAUUGGGAGAUAAACCUAAUAGCGUAAUUAACUUGACUAAUAAUGGGAUUAGUUUUUUAACUAUUUAUAGAUAAUUAACACAAUCCCGGGGCGUUCUAUAUAGUUAUGUAUAAUAAUAUUUAUAUUAUUUAUGCCUCUAACUGGAACGUACCUUGAGCAUAUAUGCUGUGACCCGAAAGAUGGUGAACUAUACUUGAUCAGGUUGAAGUCAGGGGAAACCCUGAUGGAAGACCGAAACAGUUCUGACGUGCAAAUCGAUUGUCAGAAUUGAGUAUAGGGGCGAAAGACCAAUCGAACCAUCUAGUAGCUGGUUCCUUCCGAAGUUUCCCUCAGGAUAGCUGGUGCAUUUUAAUGUUAUAUAAAAUAAUCUUAUCUGGUAAAGCGAAUGAUUAGAGGCCUUAGGGUCGAAACGAUCUUAACCUAUUCUCAAACUUUAAAUGGGUAAGAACCUUAACUUUCUUGAUAUGAAGUUUAAGGUUAUGAUAUAAUGUGCCCAGUGGGCCACUUUUGGUAAGCAGAACUGGCGCUGUGGGAUGAACCAAACGUAAUGUUACGGUGCCCAAAUUAACAACUCAUGCAGAAACCAUGAAAGGCGUUGGUUGCUUAAAACAGCAGGACGGUGAUCAUGGAAGUCGAAAUCCGCUAAGGAGUGUGUAACAACUCACCUGCCGAAGCAACUAGCCCUUAAAAUGGAUGGCGCUUAAGUUGUAUACCUAUACAUUACCGCUAAAGUAGAUGAUUUAUAUUACUUGUGAUAUAAAUUUUGAAACUUUAGUGAGUAGGAAGGUACAAUGGUAUGCGUAGAAGUGUUUGGCGUAAGCCUUCAUGGAGCUGCCAUUGGCACAGAUCUUGGUGGUAGUAGCAAAUAAUCGAAUGAGACCUUGGAGGACUGAAGUGGAGAAGGGUUUCGUGUGAACAGUGGUUGAUCACGAGUUAGUCGGUCCUAAGUUCAAGGCGAAAGCCGAAAAUUUUCAAGUAAAAAAUCAGUGAGUAAUAUUGUCAAAUCUUUUAUGAUUUUUAAAUACUUGAAUAAUUUUGAACGAAAGGGAAUACGGUUCCAAUUCCGUAACCUGUUGAGUAUCCGUUUGUUAUUAAAUAUGGGCCUCGUGCUCAUCCUGGCAACAGGAACGACCAUAAAGAAGCCGUCGAGAGAUAUCGGAAGAGUUUUCUUUUCUGUUUUAUAGCCGUACUACCAUGGAAGUCUUUCGCAGAGAGAUAUGGUAGAUGGGCUAGAAGAGCAUGACAUAUACUGUUGUGUCGAUAUUUUCUCCUCGGACCUUGAAAAUUUAUGGUGGGGACACGCAAACUUCUCAACAGGCCGUACCAAUAUCCGCAGCUGGUCUACAAGGUGAAGAGUCUCUAGUCGAUAGAAUAAUGUAGGUAAGGGAAGUCGGCAAAUUAGAUCCGUAACUUCGGGAUAAGGAUUGGCUCUGAAGAUUGAGAUAGUCGGGCUUGAUUGGGAAACAAUAACAUGGUUUAUGUGCUCGUUCUGGGUAAAUAGAGUUUCUAUCAUUUAUGGUAGUUACUUGUUCCCCGGAUAGUUUAGUUACGUAGCCAAUUGUGGAACUUUCUUGCUAAAAUUUUUAAGAAUACUAAUUGGGUUAAACCAGUUAGUUCUUAUUAAUUAUAACGAUUAUCAAUUAACAAUCAAUUCAGAACUGGCACGGACUUGGGGAAUCCGACUGUCUAAUUAAAACAAAGCAUUGUGAUGGCCCUAGCGGGUGUUGACACAAUGUGAUUUCUGCCCAGUGCUCUGAAUGUCAAAGUGAAGAAAUUCAAGUAAGCGCGGGUCAACGGCGGGAGUAACUAUGACUCUCUUAAGGCCAAAUGCCUCGUCAUCUAAUUAGUGACGCGCAUGAAUGGAUUAACGAGAUUCCUACUGUCCCUAUCUACUAUCUAGCGAAACCACAGCCAAGGGAACGGGCUUGGAAUAAUUAGCGGGGAAAGAAGACCCUUUUGAGCUUGACUCUAAUCUGGCAGUGUAAGGAGACAUAAGAGGUGUAGCAUAAGUGGGAGAUAUUAGAUUUCGGUUUGGUAUCGACAAUGAAAUACCACUACUCUUAUUGUUUCCUUACUUACUUGAUUAAAUGGAACGUGUAUCAUUUCCUAGCCAUUAUACGGAUAUAUUUAUUAUAUCUUAUGGUAUUGGGUUUUGAUGCAAGCUUCUUGAUCAAAGUAUCACGAGUUUGUUAUAUAAUCGCAAACAAAUUCUUUAAUGAGAAAAUGCAUUUAUGUAUUUUCAAUUUGAAAAUUUGGUAUAACUCCAAUUACUCAGGUAUGAUCCAAUUCAAGGACAUUGCCAGGUAGGGAGUUUGACUGGGGCGGUACAUCUCUCAAAUAAUAACGGAGGUGUCCCAAGGCCAGCUCAGUGCGGACAGAAACCACACAUAGAGCAAAAGGGCAAAUGCUGACUUGAUCUCGGUGUUCAGUACACACAGGGACAGCAAAAGCUCGGCCUAUCGAUCCUUUUGGUUUAAAUAGUUUUUAACAAGAGGUGUCAGAAAAGUUACCAUAGGGAUAACUGGCUUGUGGCGGCCAAGCGUUCAUAGCGACGUCGCUUUUUGAUCCUUCGAUGUCGGCUCUUCCUAUCAUUGUGAAGCAAAAUUCACCAAGCGUUGGAUUGUUCACCCAUGCAAGGGAACGUGAGCUGGGUUUAGACCGUCGUGAGACAGGUUAGUUUUACCCUACUAAUGACAAAACGUUGUUGCGACAGCAUUCCUGCGUAGUACGAGAGGAACCGCAGGUACGGACCAAUGGCACAAUACUUGUUCGAGCGAACAGUGGUAUGACGCUACGUCCGUUGGAUUAUGCCUGAACGCCUCUAAGGUCGUAUCCGUGCUGGACUGCAAUGAUAAAUAAGGGGCAAUUUGCAUUGU
rnacentral:rRNA from 1 species